CUGGCCAAGGGCAACUGGGCACUUAGGAAGGUUCCUGUGCAAUGAGAAGCUCUGUCCAGAAAACUUUGUUUUAUACACCUAAACCAGCAGUGUAAAUCACUACAAAGUGAAAAACAGGAGAUCUUGAUUUUUGUUCCAAAGUUGCUAUUAACUUGAUGGUUUACUUUGGCCAAAUCCCUUCCUCUCUCUGAAUUUGAGAUUUUUUUUAUCUGCUAAAGGAAGACGUUGGAUUAGGUCACUGGUUUUUAAUCCCCUUUCCCAUUCCCCCAGCACAAGUGAAGGAUAAAAUAAUAGUUCUAUAAAGCCAUGAUUUUCCCAGGGAGGGAGGAGGUCCAGUCUGGAGGGUACUUUGAACUCAAGUAAACAAAAGGGAAGAUUUUCUCGUUGAUACUGGAGACUGCACAACAAUGGGGCCACGAAAGAAAAGUGUGAAAACAUGUAUCAUGAAUAAUGAAAUUCCAGAAGAAAUGACAGCAGAUGAAACAAAGGACUA
rnacentral:sRNA from 1 species